GGUUCUGUCUGCGCUGUUACGUAUUACCUACACUUCUGGGUUUUUUUGUUCUUGUUCUCAGCCUCUCUUUAAGAGUUCUUGGGCCUUCCUUUUCCCUCUUUCUAUUUUAACAGUUUUAAUUUUAGAACCAUUUACAUUCCAGUAGGUAAUUCACUAUGCGCUUUAUAUGCCUUAGGGCAUCCAAAUAAAAAACAAUAGGGUAAACAUCCCCAAAACCCACCUUUAAAAAAAAAAAAACCCAUACAGAUUUCCAUAUGUAAUAAAACCCCGUGUUCUUGGAUAGAUAUUAAUAAGGUUGUAAUUCCAACUGGUGACAUAACUCCUGUGAGGGAUAAGAAUGUGUCUGCUUAUAGUAAUAACAUCAGAACCUCUUUGUGAAAUUGCGGCCUUUAAUGUACAUUUUAAUGAAAGGGUGCAUUAGUAUUGUACAGGGGUCUUGUAAAGUCAUCAAAACUUGCUAUGAACUCUAAUUGCCAUUUGAAGCUACUGAUUGGCAGUGGCUCUACUCUAAAACUGCUUUUUAGCAAUUGUAUUUUUUUCCUGAUUAUAUUUUUUAAUGUACUUUGAUGUUUAUGCUGAUGAGUUUUUUAUGUACUUUUGGUGAUGUUUCAGUCUUAUGUACUCUUCUGACGUCAGAAAAGUACCACUGGUUGUUUGCAGUCUUAUUGUGUAAUCAGCCUACCGCAGGCUUCCAUGUAUAAUAAAGUAAUUAAUAUUGUGCAAGUGUAAAACACUUCUGUUAUAAAAGCAGUGUUUGGAAAAUAAGAAAUAUUAAAAAUGGUUACAAAGUAUUAGUUAAUUUCCUUUUCCCACUUUCCUCCCUUUAGCUUUAGCAGCUAAAGGGUCACCAACUUGUCAUUGCAAGAUUCUUAGAAAAUGUACUUAAUCUUAAAUACGCUGAGUACUAAAAAGUGUUUAUUUCUUAUUUCAGUAAGUGCGGUAAGUUCUAUUGAGUACAGAGUACAAGCUGUAAUCAAAGGAUGGAGAGGACCUUUACCACUGUAUCUCUUAAGCUGUAUGAUUUUUCUCCAGUUUGUUUUAUACAGGUUUUGAAUUUCUUUAACUUUUAUUGUGUGUACUGAAUACUGCAUAUGUAUUAUUCUGAUUGUUUGCUCUAGUUUACUACCAAUAAAAGUCCUGUUAAUC
rnacentral:lncRNA from 1 species